AACGAACGCUGGCGGCAUGCCUAACACAUGCAAGUCGAACGAGACCUUCGGGUCUAGUGGCGCACGGGUGCGUAACGCGUGGGAACCUGCCCUUAUGUUCGGGAUAACUCCCCGAAAGGGGUGCUAAUAGCGGAUCAUGGCUUCGGACCAAUGAUUUAUCGCCUUUGGAUGGGCCCUCGUUGGAUUAGCUAGUUGGUAGGGUAAAAGCCUACCAAGGCGAAGAUCCAUAGGUGGUCUGAGAGGCUGAUCAGCCACACUGGGACUGAGACACGGCCCAGACUCCUACGGGAGGCAGCAGUGGGGAAUAUAGGACAAUGGGCGGAAGGCUGAUCCAGCAAUGACGCGUGAGUGAUGAAGGCCUUAGGGUUGUAAAGCUCUUGUACCCGGGAUGAUAAUGACAGUACCGGGAGAAUAAGCCCCGGCUAACUCCGUG
rnacentral:rRNA from 1 species